rnacentral:rRNA from 1 species
AGUGAACGCUGGCGGCAGGCCUAACACAUGCAAGUCGAGCGGCAGCGCGGGGGCAACCCUGGCGGCGAGCGGCGGACGGGUGAGGAAUUCGUCGGAAUCUGCCUUUUUGUGGGGGAUAACGUAGGGAAACUUACGCUAAUACCGCAUACGUCCUACGGGAGAAAGUGGGGGACCGCAAGGCCUCACGCAGAAAGAUGAGCCGACGACCGAUUAGCUAGUUGGUGGGGUAAAGGCCCACCAAGGCGACGAUCGGUAGCUGGUCUGAGAAGAUGAUCAGCCACACUGGGACUGAGACACGGCCCAGACUCCUACGGGAGGCAGCAGUGGGGAAUAUUGGACAAUGGGCGCAAGCCUGAUCCAGCCAUGCCGCGUGUGUGAAGAAGGCCUUCGGGUUGUAAAGCACUUUUGUCCGGAAAGAAAUCCCUGGAGCUAAUACCUUCGGGGGAUGACGGUACCGGAAGAAUAAGCACCGGCUAACUUCGUG